UCGAUUAUUUCGAGCAAAUCUUCGAUUCUGGAAGGCAAUCGGAAUCCAUUUUUCCAUUUUUAGUUUGACGCUUUUUGUUGAUUUGUUAAUUAUGCAAGAGCAUGUUUACAAAUUUUUGUAUAAUACCCUUUACAAACUGUAAGAUUUGAUCAUAGGGUUCAAUUACAAAAUGAAUCGAGUUUGGUCAGCAAAGUGGAUGAGUGCUCAAAAUGUACGUUUGUUGUAUACCAAAGGUUUGGGAAAAUGGCCUUUGAACAGCUUGGUGGAAUUGAAUAGAAAUUAUUCCCUUUUACUAAAAAUUUCGAUAGAAACGAAUAUAUGCGACCUGAUGAAACAAAAUAUUUUUGGAAACCCAUUCAUCCGUUCCCAUUCGACAAUAAGUGAAGCGAUUAGAAAAAAAAAAGAAACGUGUGGUUAAACCUCGCUAUUCCAAAUAUGUUGAGCUCCUGGAAGGUAAGCAAAAUGUUUGCCCCGAAAAAAGGAAGAGGUAUAAGUGCAGAAUCCGUACAUUUCUCUGAUUAACAAAGUUUAUAUUCAGAUCGAUAGGGGUUUUAGUCCUUAUCAAAACAGUAUUCUUUUUUUAAGGUGGAAAUAUUUUAUUUGUAUUUAUUUAUUUAUUAAAGCUUAUACAUGUUAUUAAUAUAUAUACAACCUAAUCAUGCUGCGCUAGCAUCAGAGGCUAUCAGCUGUCCGUUGAAUAAAUAUUUUGUUUUAAAUUCUUCUCAGUUGGUCACAUUCUUUUAAAAAUUUGUAUACCGUUCUUAUAUUCUCCUCAGUUGUAUUCGAAAGAAGACAAACAGGGUCUGUAUUAAAAUUGUAUUGCCUUUAUCUUACAGUAUUGGGCAAAAUUCCAGUAGAACAGUUGUUGAGUCACAAAAUGGACAGAUGUUGGUUCUAUUUCUCCCAAGGAGGUGAGCAUGCGUCACUCUAGUGUGUCCAAGCUUUGGUCAACCGUGAGGUCGCUGUCCAAUCCGACGAAGCACGACGACA